CCUACGGGGGACUGCAGUGGGGAAUAUUGGGCAAUGGGCGCAAGCCUGACCCAGCAACGCCGCGUGAAGGAAGAAGGCUUUCGGGUUGUAAACUUCUUUUGUCAGGGAAGAGUAGAAGACGGUACCUGACGAAUAAGCCACGGCUAACUACGUGCCAGCAGCCGCGGUAAUACGUAGGUGGCAAGCGUUGUCCGGAUUUACUGGGUGUAAAGGGCGUGUAGCCGGGUUGACAAGUCAGAUGUGAAAUCCUGCGGCUUAACCGAAGAACUGCAGUUGAAACUGUUGAUCUUGAGUACUGGAGAGGCAGACGGAAUUCCUAGUGUAGCGGUGAAAUGCGUAGAUAUUAGGAGGAACACCAGUGGCGAAGGCGGUCUGCUGGACAGCAACUGACGGUGAGGCGCGAAAGCGUGGGGAGCAAACAGGAUUAGAUACCCCAGUAGUC
rnacentral:rRNA from 1 species